UACAUGGGGUGCAAACGUUGCUCGGAAUCAUUGGGCGUAAAGCGCACGUAGGCGGUUCGUUAUGCCGGAUGUGAAAGCCCUCGGCUUAACCGGGGAAGUGCAUCCGAAACUGGCGAGCUUGAGUACUAAAGAGGGUCGCGGAAUUCCCGGUGUAGAGGUGAAAUUCGUAGAUAUCGGGAGGAACACCAGCGGCGAAGGCGGCGACCUGGGUAGAUACUGACACUGAGGUGCGGAAGCGUGGGGAGCAAACAGG
rnacentral:rRNA from 1 species